GACGAGGGGUCCAAGCGUUGUUCGGAAUCAUUGGGCGUAAAGCGGGUGUAGGUGGCUCUGUAAGUCAGGAGUGAAAGCCCCGAGCUUAACUUGGGAAGUGCUUUUGAUACUGCAGAGCUUGAGUGUGGGAGAGGAUCGUGGAAUUCCUGGUGUAGUGGUGAAAUACGUAGAUAUCAGGAGGAACACCGGUGGCGAAGGCGGCGAUCUGGCCCAACACUGACACUGAGACGCAAAAGCGUGGGGAGCAAACAGG
rnacentral:rRNA from 1 species